rnacentral:tRNA from 1 species
GCGCCGGUGGUGUAAGGCGAACACCGCUGCCCGGAAAGCAGAAGAUGCGGGUUUGAGUCCCGCCUGGCGCC